AAAAUUUAAAAUAAAAAUACUAAAAUAGUAGAUAAAUAUUUAUUGAAACUUAAAUAAUUUGGCGGUAUUUUAGUUCAUUUAGAGGAAUCUGUUUAAUAAUUGAUAUUCCACGAAUAAAUUUACUUAAUUUAUAAUUUUGUAUAUCGUUGUUAUAAAAAUAUUUUUUAAUAAAAUUAAUAUUUAAAAAUUAAUAUAGUAAAUUAAAUCAGAUCAAGAUGCAGAUUAUAAUUAAGAAUAUAAUGGAUUACAAUAAAUUUAUUUAAAUAUGGAUUUUAAUUUGUAAUAUUUAAUUGAAGGUGGAUUUAAAUGUAAUUUUAUUUAAUUUAAUAAAAUGAUUAAAAAUUAAAAUAUGU
rnacentral:rRNA from 1 species